rnacentral:rRNA from 1 species
GACGAACGCUGGCGGCGUGCCUAAUACAUGCAAGUUGAGCGCUGAAGGUUGGUACUUGUACCAACUGGAUGAGCAGCGAACGGGUGAGUAACGCGUGGGGAAUCUGCCUUUGAGCAGGGGACAACAUUUGGAAACGAAUGCUAAUACCGCAUAAAAACUUUAAACACAAGUUUUAAGUUUGAAAGAUGCAAUUGCAUCACUCAAAGAUGAUCCCGCGUUGUAUUAGCUAGUUGGUGAGGUAAAGGCUCACCAAGGCGAUGAUACAUAGCCGACCUGAGAGGGUGAUCGGCCACAUUGGGACUGAGACACGGCCCAAACUCCUACGGGAGGCAGCAGUAGGGAAUCUUCGGCAAUAGACGAAAGUCUGACCGAGCAACGCCGCGUGAGUGAAGAAGGGUUUCGGAUCGUAAAACUCUGUUGGUAGAGAAGAACGUUGGUGAGAGUGGAAAGCUCACCAAGUGACGGUAACUACCCAGAAAGGGACGGCUAACUACGUG